UACGGGGGGGGCAAGCGUUGUUCGGAAUUACUGGGCGUAAAGGGCUCGUAGGCGGCCAACUAAGUCAGACGUGAAAUCCCCAGGCUCAACCUGGGAACUGCGUCUGAUACUGGAUGGCUUGAAUCCGGGAGAGGGAUGCAGAAUUCCAGGUGUAGCGGUGAGAUGCGUAGAUAUCUGGAGGAAUACCGGUGGCGAAGGCGGCAUCCUGGACUGGCAUUGACGCUGAGGAGCGAAAGCUAGGGGAGCAAACGGG
rnacentral:rRNA from 1 species